AAUAGAUGGCGCCGUUGACUUUUUCUCACAUGUUUGACCAUUCGUUUUAUUCAAAAAAUGAGUUGUUUUAUCACUCAUAGUACUUUAAGUGUGAUUUAUAUCAUAUACAUUUGCAUAAAAUUUUUGAAUAAGACGAAUGGUCAAACAUGUGAGAAAAAGUCAACGGCGUCAUCUAUU
rnacentral:pre_miRNA from 1 species